UGGGGAAUAUUGGACAAUGGGCGCAAGCCUGAUCCAGCAAUGCCGCGUGUGUGAAGAAGGCCUUCGGGUUGUAAAGCACUUUUAUCAGGAGCGAAACGCUGUCGGCUAAUACCCGGCGGAACUGACGGUACCUGAGGAAUAAGCACCGGCUAACUUCGUGCCAGCAGCCGCGGUAAUACGAAGGGUGCAAGCGUUAAUCGGAAUUACUGGGCGUAAAGCGUGCGUAGGCGGUUUCUUAAGUCUGCUGUGAAAUCCCCGGGCUCAACCUGGGAAUGGCAGUGGAUACUGGGAGGCUAGAGUGUGUCAGAGGGUGGUGGAAUUCCCGGUGUAGCGGUGAAAUGCGUAGAGAUCGGGAGGAACAUCAGUGGCGAAGGCGGCCACCUGGGACAACACUGACGCUGAGGCACGAAAGCGUGGGGAGCAAACAGGAUUAGAUACCCUGGUAGUCCACGCCCUAAACGAUGCGAACUGGAUGUUGGUCUCAACUCGGAGAUCAGUGUCGAAGCUAACGCGUUAAGUUCGCCGCCUGGGGAGUACGGUCGCAAGACUGAAACUCAAAGGAAUUGACGGGGUCAUAGCUGUUUCCU
rnacentral:rRNA from 1 species